rnacentral:rRNA from 1 species
CCGUUGCCGGCGACCGGCGCACGGGUGAGUAACACGUAUGCAACCUGCCCGUGGCAGGGGGAUAAGCGGGGGAAACCCCGUCUAAUACCGCGUAACGCGGCCUAGGGACAUCCCAAGGCCGCCAAAGGGAGCAAUCCCGGCCACGGAUGGGCAUGCGACGCAUUAGCUAGUCGGCGGGGUAACGGCCCACCGAGGCGACGAUGCGUAGGGGUUCUGAGAGGAAGGCCCCCCACACUGGUACUGAGACACGGACCAGACUCCUACGGGAGGCAGCAG